CUUGACAUGUCUGGAAGGCCCCUGAGAGGGGGUUGUGCCCGAAAGGGAACCGGAACACAGGUGCUGCAUGGCUGUCGUCAGCUCGUGUCGUGAGAUGUUGGGUUAAGUCCCGCAACGAGCGCAGCCCUUGUCCCUAGUUGCUACGCAAGGGCACUCUAGGGAGACUGCCGGUGACAAACCGGAGGAAGGUGGGGAUGACGUCAAGUCCUCAUGGCCCUUAUGGGUAG
rnacentral:rRNA from 1 species